CACAGCACUUCAGAAAAGAGUGGGACUGGACAAGCGUAUCUAAGAGGCCGAACAUGAAUCCACAGAUCAGCUCUGUUUCUGCCUGGUCAUCCUGAGCCCCUCCUGCCCUCAGGGCCAUUCCACUGUGCUCCCCUGCCUCACCGCCUCCUCCCCGCUCUCCCAGGCUCUUCCUUCAGAGGCCCCUUUCUGCCUCCAUGGCUACCCAUCCACCCCCUCAGACCCCAUUCCUCCAGCCUGCGUGCCCCUGACCUGGCUCUUCCCAUCUCCCCAGCAUAACCAAAUCUUACUAAACUCAACCUAGGCUGGGCAUGGUGACUCACGCCUGUAAUCCCCCAGCACUUUAGGAGGCAAAGGUGGGAGAAUCGCUUGAGCCCAGGAGUCCAAGACCAGCCUGGGUCACAUGACAAAGCCCCAUCUCUACCAAAAAAAAAAAAAAAAAAAAAGCUAAAUGUGGUGGCAUGCACCUGUAGUCCAAGUUACUUGGAAGGCUGAAGUGUGAGGAUUACUUGAGCCCUGGAGGUGGAGGCUGGAGUGAACAGAGAUCGCACCACUGAACUCCGGUCUGGGCAGAGUAGAUCGAGACCCUGCCUGAAAAUAAAUCAAUAAAUAAACUCAACCUAAAUGGGUGUGAAUAUAUGUAAAUUGAAUACCAGAAGUUUUGAGAAACAUCCUUUGUAAAUUUCAUCCUACGAAUUGGGUCAUUCAUGUCCUGCCCAGCUAAAACAGAGGCCAGGAGCCAGGGAGGAAAAGCAGUCAGGCCACACACCACUGCUCCCGAAAUGGACUUCUCUGCAAGCCUGACUCCUAAAACUGUGCGUUGUACCCUGAAACCAGCUUUAUCCAUAGCUUCUGCGAUAAAUGGCUGUAAGUCUUGGACUCCUUGCUCCAAAAGCAGCAACUCAGCAAUGGAACCUCCCAGCUCCCAACCCUUCCUAGUGCCCACGGGCUUUCCCAAAGGGCAAGAGAACAUUUCUCCUCCUAUAAUUGCCAUCUCUUUGUUCUCCCGACAUGGUGAACACCAUCCGGACUGCGUGUAUGUCCCAAAUUACAAUUCUUUCUUUGCUAAUGAAAUAUGAAAUUUAGAGGCUCUUCUCCACACUUUAAAUUUGACUUGACAUUUUCAAGGCAGAUGUAAGUUAUUAGAGAAUGAGACUCUAUAAAAAUGACCCCUUCAUGCCGUGGCCUCCAUAGAAGAUGCCCCGGGCCAGGUGUCCACACGGCGGGCAUUUAUUUUCUCGAAGAUCUGGAGGCUGCAGGUCCAAGUUCGAGGGUUGGGUGGAGUUGUUUUCUCUGAGGUCAAUUCUCCUGGCUGGCAGGGAGUCGCUUCCAGCCGUGUCCUCUGUGGCUUUUCCUCUAUGCACCUGCACCUCUGGGGUCUCUCUGCCUCCAAAUAUCAAAUAUCAACCUUUUUUUUUUUUUUUUCUUUGAGACAGAGUUUUGCUCUUGUUGCCCAGGCUGGAGCGCAAUGGCACGAUCUCGGCUCACUGCAACCUCUGCCUCCCGAGUUCAAGCGAUUCUUCUGCUUCAGCCUCCCAAGUACCUGGGACUAAAGGCAUGCGUCACCACACCUGAUUAAUUUUGUAGUUUUAGUAGAGAAGGGAUCUCACCAUGUUGGCCAUGCUUGCUCUCGAACUCCUGACCGCAGGUGAUCUGCCUGUCUUGGCCUCCCCAAGUGCUGGGAUUACAGGUGUGAGCCACUGUGCCUGCCUGGGAUCAUAUGUUACAUGCAUAUUUGUUUGAUAAGCCUGGACUGCAACCACCUACAUGAAUAUUCAUAGCUCCUCCUGUAGCCUGUUGAAUAUGUAUGUUUAGCCAACCUCUUCAGCAUAAAGCUCCUGCCCCAACCCCUCCUGCUUCUAAAUGUCUGUAUCUGGUGUUUCCCAGAGGCUGCUUUUCCCAGGCUGUAGGAUGGCCACCUGCAGGCUAUCACCCUUAUCAAGAAAUAAAGUGUUCUUUGUAAAU
rnacentral:lncRNA from 1 species